rnacentral:rRNA from 1 species
AUUGAACGCUGGCGGCAGGCUUAACACAUGCAAGUCGAACGAUGAUUAUCUAGCUUGCUAGAUAUGAUUAGUGGCGGACGGGUGAGUAACAUUUAGGAAUCUGCCUAGUAGUGGGGGAUAGCUCGGGGAAACUCGAAUUAAUACCGCAUACGACCUACGGGUGAAAGGGGGCGCAAGCUCUUGCUAUUAGAUGAGCCUAAAUCAGAUUAGCUAGUUGGUGGGGUAAAGGCCCACCAAGGCGACGAUCUGUAACUGGUCUGAGAGGAUGAUCAGUCACACCGGAACUGAGACACGGUCCGGACUCCUACGGGAGGCAGCAGUGGGGAAUAUUGGACAAUGGGGGCAACCCUGAUCCAGCCAUGCCGCGUGUGUGAAGAAGGCCUUUUGGUUGUAAAGCACUUUAAGCAGGGAGGAGAGGCUAAUGGUUAAUACCCAUUAGAUUAGACGUUACCUGCAGAAUAAGCACCGGCUAACUCUGUGCCAGCAGCCGCGGUAAUACAGAGGGUGCGAGCGUUAAUCGGAAUUACUGGGCGUAAAGCGAGUGUAGGUGGCUCAUUAAGUCACAUGUGAAAUCCCCGGGCUUAACCUGGGAACUGCAUGUGAUACUGGUGGUGCUAGAAUAUGUGAGAGGGAAGUAGAAUUCCAGGUGUAGCGGUGAAAUGCGUAGAGAUCUGGAGGAAUACCGAUGGCGAAGGCAGCUUCCUGGCAUAAUAUUGACACUGAGAUUCGAAAGCGUGGGUAGCAAACAGGAUUAGAUACCCUGGUAGUCCACGCCGUAAACGAUGUCUACUAGCCGUUGGGGUCCUUGAGACUUUAGUGGCGCAGUUAACGCGAUAAGUAGACCGCCUGGGGAGUACGGCCGCAAGGUUAAAACUCAAAUGAAUUGACGGGGGCCCGCACAAGCGGUGGAGCAUGUGGUCUAAUUCGAUGCAACGCGAAGAACCUUACCUGGUCUUGACAUAGUGAGAAUCCUGCAGAGAUGCGGGAGUGCCUUCGGGAAUUCACAUACAGGUGCUGCAUGGCUGUCGUCAGCUCGUGUCGUGAGAUGUUGGGUUAAGUCCCGCAACGAGCGCAACCCUUUUCCUUAUUUGCCAGCGGGUUAAGCCGGGAACUUUAAGGAUACUGCCAGUGACAAACUGGAGGAAGGCGGGGACGACGUCAAGUCAUCAUGGCCCUUACGACCAGGGCUACACACGUGCUACAAUGGUAGGUACAGAGGGUUGCUACACAGCGAUGUGAUGCUAAUCUCAAAAAGCCUAUCGUAGUCCGGAUUGGAGUCUGCAACUCGACUCCAUGAAGUCGGAAUCGCUAGUAAUCGCAGAUCAGAAUGCUGCGGUGAAUACGUUCCCGGGCCU